rnacentral:lncRNA from 1 species
AUCGGUAAAUAAUUUUUGUGGCGUGAAAGCUAAAUAAAUUCGUACUUACUGUAAUACAGAUAACCAAAGCAUAAGAUUUAAUUUACAGUGACACAUGGGCCCACAAACGACCAAAGUAUCAAAAGCGGUAAACCUAUAGUUUUUUAAGGAUGCAAGUCCAAUGGUAACUCUUGAUGAAAUCAGCUAUUUACAGCCUAUUUUGAGCCUGAAAUGGAUGGAAAUGAGGCUGGUGAGAUUAUAUAAUCCCAGUGAGUAAACAAAUACUAUCUAAAAUAUCUAAAGCUGAGUAAAUGGAGACAAAUAAAAUAGUUUAACAUACUGUAAUUCAUCACCUUUUAGCUCAUUUCAACAAAAUAAAAUCAAUUCAUUUAAAUCGAGUAAUCCACAUGGCUUAUGAAUUUCUUAAAACUUUGGCUCGUGCCAAAAUCAUUCUCAUACUCAGUUAUCAGGGAUAACUUGGCCGAGGGCUAUCCCAACCGAGUUCGUCAAGGUUGUUAAAAAUUUAUGUGCGCAUAAAUCAUGUUUUUAUUUUGAAAACAUAGCCGUUCCUUGGCGUUGGUUGAGUUCACCCUCACGUGGUGGUUUAGCAUGAAGUAAACUCUAAAGUGUUAACCUUAGGAGUUAUCCAUCCGCGCCUCUCAUACUGAGGUAUGAAUAUAAUAGGGUUACCGUGCCCUUCUAAUAGGCUGGUCCACAGAACCCGUCCACUGCAACGACCAAUAUAUAACCCACCAAUUCAAUAAAAUUUGCAAUAGCAUGACAUGACAAUUAUUUUAUUUUACAGCCUCUCAAAGUAAAUCAACAGUUCAUACAUUUUCAGCACAUUUACCAAUUCAACCAUUCAUGCCAAUAUUAUCAUAAGCCAUUCAAUUCAAACCAUGAUUUAUAACACAACAAUUAGUCUCAAAUUACUCCAUUUUCAAAACCAUCUUUCAAUUUAAAAACAAUUUUAUAAAAUCUUUUCAUUUAAUCACAUUUUUGCUUAUAAAACAUAAAGAUUUACCAUUUAAACUCAUUUUCCAUAAAAUCACAAAAAUGAAUUAAAAUUCACUUCAGAUAAUCAAGAUGAUGAUAAGGUUACUCACUGUAUCAAGAGUUUGAAAUACUCCUAUUCUCAGUCCUCUGACACAAAGUCUUUACCCUUGUUAGAGGGCUCAUCACCUAUAUACAAUACACGACACACAAUUCAAUAUACUGUGUCAUACCAUUAUAAAUCUAUUUCAGGCUUUUUACUAAUGCAUGAAAUGGAAUGCAAAUCGUUCGGAUUAUCAUCUAAACACGGUGUUCUACACAAAUUUAAUUGUGUACCAAAAUAAAUCGGUAUUGGCCUAAUUCGAUCUGUCACCCGAUUAAUUGGCCAAUAUUUCCAAUUCAACUCUAAUUAAUUCCAUUUUUCUCCCAAUUCUUCAAAUCACCAAACACAAGUCAAAUAACAUAAAAUUUAGCAAAACUAUCCUCACAUUUCUUCUUGAGAAUUUCGGCCAUGGUGAGUGCAUCAACACUAUGAUUUUUCCUACUUGAUUUUCUCAUCAUAAUUCAUCAUUUCCUAACCAAUUCACUUGAAAUAAAAUCAAAUUCACCAUCAACACUCUACAAGGAAGAUUCGGCCAAUGAUGAAUUCAUGAGGAAUAUGUGAAUUUCAAGCUUAAUUCUUACACUUAACACCAUAAACAACUAAAAACAUCCAUAUAUCUUAAAAAUGUAUCUAAAUCAUCAUCAAAUUCUCUCUCCUAGGGUUUGAUCAGCAAGAUACCCAUCAUGAAAUCAUGUGAUUCAACCAUGGAAAAUAAGAAAAAAUGCUUAAGAAAGAAAGAUCUCAAGCUUAAUUAAAAAAUCUUACCUUUUUUUCACUUGUUUCUUGAAUUUUCACACCUUUCCCUUGAAUUUUUUCACCUAGGGUUCUUGUUCUUUCUUUUCUUCCUUUAUUCUUCUUUGGCCG